rnacentral:rRNA from 1 species
UACGUAGGGUGCAAGCGUUGUCCGGAAUUAUUGGGCGUAAAGAGCUCGUAGGCGGUUUGUCGCGUCGAAUGUGAAAACCCGGGGCUUAACCCCGGUUCUGCAUUCGAUACGGGCUGGCUAGAGUGUGGUAGGGGAGAUCGGAAUUCCUGGUGUAGCGGUGAAAUGCGCAGAUAUCAGGAAGAACACCAAUGGCGAAGGCAGCUCUCUGGGACGGUACUGACGCUGAGACGCGAAAGCGUGGGGAGCGAACAGG